GGGGGUAUAGCUCAGUGGUAGAGCAUUUGACUGCCGAUCAAGAGGACUCAGGUUCUAAUCCUGGUGCCCACU